rnacentral:rRNA from 1 species
GAUGAACGCUAGCGGCAGGCCUAAUACAUGCAAGUCGGACGGGAUUCAGGAGCUUGCUUCUGAUGAGAGUGGCGCACGGGUGCGUAACACGUAUGUAACCUACCUUUAUCAGGGGGAUAGCCCCUCGAAAGAGAGAUUAAGCCCGCAUAAAAUCACAGCACAGCAUUGUGUAAUGAUCAAAUAUUUAUAGGAUAAAGAUGGGCAUGCGGAACAUUAGCUAGAUGGCGGGGUAACGGCCCACCAUGGCGACGAUGUUUAGGGGAUCUGAGAGGAUGGCCCCCCACACUGGUACUGAGACACGGACCAGACUCCUACGAGAGGCAGCAGUAAGGAAUAUUGGGCAAUGGGCGGAAGCCUGAACCAGCCAUGCCGCGUGCAGGAAGACGGCCCUACGGGUUGUAAACUGCUUUUAUACGGGAAUAAACCCAGAUACGUGUAUCUGGCUGAAUGUACUGUAAGAAUAAGGAUCGGCUAACUCCGUG